rnacentral:rRNA from 1 species
UCAGUACCUGCGAGUGAAGCGGCAACAGCCCAGAUUUGAAAUCCGGCUCUCUUGCGAGGGUGUGAGUUGUAAUCUGUAGAGGAUGUCGCUGGCCAACAGCUGCUUCCAAGUCCCUUGGAACGGGGUGCCAUAGAGGGUGAGAGCCCCGUACGGAGUAGGCUGGAUGGUCAUGAUGCCACUCCUUCGACGAGUUGAGUAGUUUGGUAAUGCUGCUCUAAACGGUAGGUAAAUUCCUUCCAAGGCUAAAUAUCGGCCGGAGACCGAUAGCGCACAAGUAGAGUGAUCGAAAAAUGAAAAGAACUUUGAAAAGAGGGUUAAACAAUACGUGAAAUUGUUGAAAGGGAAGCGCCCGCGACUAGACUUGGACCCGACUGAUCCCCCUACGGUCUUAUUCCGCACUCCCGGUCAUGGUUUACAGGCCAGGAUCGGUUUGUGCUGGGGGAUAAGAACGGCUGCAACGUCGCUCGUUUUAUCAGUGUUAUAGCCCACUGUGCCUUACCCUACUGCGGAUCGAGGAACGCCUCUUCGACAGGGAUGCUGGC